AUUAACUAUGCUUCCAUUAAAAAAAAAUUCAUAUCCCUUAAUUCUUGAAUCUCCCAAGUAAAAAGACAGAAAGUCAGACCUCCAUGUUACUCCAACCAUUUGUAAUAGGGAAAAACUGUAAAUAAGUCAUCAGGUGUCAAAGGAAUAACCAAAUAUACUUUUGUGUGGCCAAAUGUCAGAGUAUUAUGCAGCCACUAGAAAUGAAGUUUUUGAGGAAUAGUUAUUGACUUUGGAAAACCUUAAGUGAAACCAGUAACACACAAGAUUGCAUAACAGUAUAGAGUAAUCAGUGCAUAGAAACUACAUAGAAUGGUUACUGACGUUCACGAGAUUGUGGGACACUUAUUCUUUCCUUUAUACUUUCUUUUGGUUGUUGUUUUCCUGAAUUACAAUGAACAAGAAUACCUUUUAAAGUCAGAAAAAAAGUCCAGUAAAUAUUAUUUUUUUAAAAGCACCACGUACAGAAAACUGAUGUGACAGAUGGCGGGACGGCUUCCAGGAGCUGCACCGUGAACGUUCUUGUGGUCGCAGGCGUGAUGCUCUUGUAACAAGCCCGCGGUUCAGAAAGGCACAUCACCACCAAGGGGCAACUUGGGAGCGUCCCGGGAAUCCCAGACCUGUGAGUUUGCGGAGUGGAGACCCCUUCCGGUGCGAGGGGACAGACGGUUAUUCCACCACCCUCAUUGCCACGUCUUGCUCAUCUCACCAACGAAGUGCCUGGUUCUACUUUCGUAGUACUUGCUGGCCCAUCGCCAGCUGCUCGUGGGAUGACGUAUGAGCCCCUUGAACAUCUGAUCCUGGGCUGCUCUGUCUGUCCCAGGACACUCCUGCCAAAGUCUGAGUGAUGCAUUGUCCU